UUUCAAAAUCCCCGAGGAAAGAUCCAGAAGCGGGGAAGGCCCUGUUAUUGGCUCGGAGAAGAGUAAUGGCGGAGAGCAAGCGCGUCUCUCUCCCCAGCUCGCCUCUCUCUCCCCUCCUCCCCUCCUCCGCCCUCGGUGGCGGUGGCGGAGGAAGAGGCGGCGCGCUCGACGUCCGAUCGAUGUCCUUUUCUUCUUUUGGUUCGAGGCUGGAGGAGUCCGUCAAGAACACGAUCUCGGAGAACCCCGUCGUCAUCUACUCCAAGAAUUGGUGCUCGUGAGUUCCGAUUUCUCUCUCUGAUGACAUCGAUCGAUCGAUCGAUUCGCUUACGUUUUUGUUGAUGGGGAAUGGAGGUAUUCGAUGGAGGUCAAGUCGCUCUUCAAGAUGAUCGGAGUUGAUUCCCUAGUCAUAGAACUUGAUUAGCUCGGUCCCCCAGGGCCACAACUGCAAAAGGUGUUGGAAAGAUUGACUGGACAAUACACUGUUCCAAAUGUUUUUAUUGAUACUGUAAAACUUCACGGCAAAGGAGAGCUAACCACUUUACUAUCAGAACUGAACAUGGGCAGCAAGAGCUUGCAGCAGCCAGGAAAUUGUUCUCCAAUGAAUGCCAUUAUUCAAGGACAUCUUGAUGGUUAGAUGUGAGCAUUGCUAAAGCUGCAAGAACGGCACUGGCCUUGAUGGCCACAAAUCUUGCACGUUGGUUCCUCUUGCUAUCAACUGCUGGAGAUUUAGGAGCUUCUUCGGCCUUUUCGGCCCUCUUCAGCAGCCUGUCCGUGGAAGAUAUCCAUCAUAUUUGAAUCAAUUCAGGGUGCACAUGAAAACACAGAAUCAGCUGCUUGAAAACUGUCAGUGCCACACAUCCAUGGAUCUAGAGGUGUCAAAAUGGGCUGCUCGGGCUGGCCUGGCCCAUCUGGGCCUAUGAGUUAAUCGGGCAGGGCCAACCCCUGUCAGUUAUUGUUAUUCGGAUCAGACCCAAUCCGGCCCAUAUUCCAAAGCCCCUAACCAAACCCCACUCUAGCCCUUAUAUUCAGGGUGCAGCCCUUAUUUCUUAUUUAUUUAGAUAUUUUAUCUAAUUAAAUUUAUUUCACUCCUUACUAGUGAAGUAGAUAUUUGUUGUUAAAAAAAAAGAAGUUAAGUAGAUAUUAAACUUUAAUCUUUAAAAAUAAAAUUGAAGAUACUAUACAAACACAAGUUUAAUAUUGAAAUAAUCUAUUUUUAUAAUUAAAAUCAAUUCCUUAUAAUUUGAUAUUUAUAUAUGUAUUUUGUCAUUUAAUUUUUUGUUUAUAAUUUUAAAUUAUUAUUGUUGUUUGUUUGGAGAUUGUAUUUAAAUAAAUUUGUAUGACUACUUAUGUAAAUCUUAAACAUUAAUAAAAUACUUUAAACAUAAAAUUAAACAUAAAAUAUAAUCUUAUUAUUGAAAUACCUUAAUUUUAUAUAUGAAAAAGUAAUGUAUUGUAAAUUCACAAUUUACAUCAAAUAGGUAUGAUAUGAAAAAUAAAUUAAAAUAAAAAAAGAUAAAUUAUAAAAAUUCUCUUUGUGAUUAGGUCAAAAUUAUACUUAAAUUCAAUAGUUUUAAAAACUUACAUCUACACCUUUUACGUUUUCUUAAACUCUAUAGUUUAACCCAGCGUGUUAGACAUCUUCUUAAUUCACAAUGGAAUUCAGAUGUUAUGUAAUAAAUUUUUUUUAAAAUAACCAAAAUAGCCUUCCAUGGAGGAUGAGCAAAAUAAAAAUCCUUCUUCCCUCCAACCUUCCGACCUACCCCACCACCCUAGAACCUCAAUUGCCUACGUGCACAUCCUUGAAACCUCCGCGAAGAAGCACGUCCUCCCAUCCCUUUUCAUCCUCCUCUCCCCUCCCUUGUCUUGCCUAAUCCUCUCCUUUUCUCCAUCGCCGCCAUCUCUGCCACAAGACCGCCCGUGCCGCCGAUGGCCCCCUCCACUCCUCUGUCGAUGCCAAGCUCUAGGUCAUUCGACAGAGUGCCAAUUCUUCAAAGCAGGGCACCCCCUCCCACGCAAUUUCACCCUUCAGCCCAUUCACAAUGCUGACUGGCGACCAAAAAUGGAAGUCGGCCUACUCGCUUUGAACAAAUCUUUCAUUUGGAAGAUCAAGGCAAGGUAGAAGC